rnacentral:rRNA from 1 species
UACGUAGGGUGCAAGCGUUAAUCGGAAUUACUGGGCGUAAAGCGUGCGCAGGCGGUUUUGUAAGUCUGUUGUGAAAUCCCCGGGCUUAACCUGGGGAUUGCGAUGGAGACUGCAAGGCUGGAGUCUGGCAGAGGGGGGUAGAAUUCCACGUGUAGCAGUGAAAUGCGUAGAGAUGUGGAGGAACACCGAUGGCGAAGGCAGCCCCCUGGGUCAAGACUGACGCUCAUGCACGAAAGCGUGGGGAGCAAACAGG